AUGAUUACAUUAGACCUAUCAAAUAUUCAUACUACAUUCCACAAGAGGUCAUUGUGUGUGUUUUUCCAAUUUAGCUCUGCCUUGGCGCAGGGAGCAGGCUCCGGGUGGGAAAAGGGCUGCGCCGACGUCUCCGGCCCCGCAGCCCCAGGGCUGUGCCCGCCGAGGUGGCAGCAAAGCCCCCGGGGUGUCACCGACGUCCUGGGGUGGUGGCGUGGGAUUGGGGGUGGUGUUUGGGUUGGGGUGAGGGGGAUGCUGAAGGGGGUGCUGAGCCCAUUGAUGGUGCAGAGCAGAGCCCACGAGGGCUGUGGGCUCUUGCGCCCACCUCCUGGUGCCCCAGCUCCUCCUAGAAGCAUCCAUGCAGCCCAACUUGCCCGGCAGCGCCGUGCCUGUCCCUUACUGUGGGACUUUCCCUGGGGUGUCCCUUCCCUGGCCGGGAUCCUCGUGGAGGUGGUGUCUGCACCAUGCAGAGCGUCACACCAUGUCCCCGGGGAGCGACACAACAGGGAGGGACCCGCAGCAUCGGUGUUCCUGUCUCAGGUGGCUUUCAAGGACACGGCUCUCCAGCGGAUGACAGGCACUUCCCCACCUGUGCCUCAGUUUCCCUGUGAGUGGCGCCUGGCUCGGCACAUCCUGGAGCUGCAAAGCUCCAGGGGAGUGUCCCCUGUCCCCGGGGGUGCACGGCACCAGGACACGUGCAUGGCACGAGCGGGACGUGCUGCCCAGGGUGGCAGGAGGCAGCCCAGGGCCACCCCUGUCCCCAGACCCCAUCCUUCCCCAGGCAGCGAUGCCGGAGGUGGCAGGGCGGGGCCGAGAUUCUCCUGCAGGGCUGGGAACCUGAAGCUGGACCAAAAGAUGAAUUUUAAUGUGACCCCAGCCUGGUCUCUGUUGACCUCCGUGUGUGUCCCCAGGGGAUGUCUGGCACCAUCCCAACCAUCCUCAGGGCUCUGUCCCCACGUCCCCCAGCCCCAGCUUCUCCACCGAGGUCCUCGCUGCCCCCCGCCCUGGCAGCCCCGGACCAGCACUGCAUUUCUCUCCUUACAUUAA
rnacentral:lncRNA from 1 species